rnacentral:rRNA from 1 species
CUAAGAAUAUUCCGCAAUGGACGAAAGUCUGACGGAGCGACGCCGCGUGGAUGAAGAAGGCCGAAAGGUUGUAAAAUCCUUUUGCUGAUGAAGAAUAAGUGUGGUAGGGAAUGACCGCAUGAUGACAUUAGUCGGUGAAUAAGCCCCGGCUAACUACGUGCCAGCAGCCGCGGUAACACGUAGGGGGCAAGCGUUGUUCGGAAUUAUUGGGCGUAAAGGGCAUGUAGGCGGUUUUGUAAGCCUGGUGUGAAAUCCUGCAGCUUAACUGUAGAAUUGCAUCGGGUACUGCAAGACUUGAAUCACAGAGGGGAAACUAGAAUUCCAGGUGUAGGGGUGGAAUCUGUAGAUAUCUGGAAGAAUACCGGUGGCGAAGGCGGGUUUCUAGCUGAUGAUUGACGCUGAGGUGCGAAAGUGCGGGGAGCAAACAGGAUU